rnacentral:rRNA from 1 species
CCUACGGGAGGCAGCAGUGAGGAAAUUUGGUCAAUGGACGAGAGUCUGAACCAGCCAAGUAGCGUGAAGGAUGACUGCCCUAUGGGUUGUAAACUUCUUUUAUAUGGGAAUAAAACGUUCCACGUGUGGGAUUUUGUAUGUACCAUAUGAAUAAGGAUCGGCUAACUCCGUGCCAGCAGCCGCGGUAAUACGGAGGAUCCGAGCGUUAUCCGGAUUUAUUGGGUUUAAAGGGAGCGUAGGUGGAUUGUUAAGUCAUUUGUGAAAGUUUGCGGCUCAACCGUAAAAUUGCAGUUGAAACUGGCAGUCUUGAGUACAGUAGAGGUGGGCGGAAUUCGUGGUGUAGCGGUGAAAUGCUUAGAUAUCACGAAGAACUCCGAUUGCGAAGGCAGUUCACUGGACUGCAACUGACACUGAGGCUCGAAAGUGUGGGUAUCAAACAGGAUUAGAUACCCUGUAGUC